AUUGAACGCUGGCGGCAUGCUUUACACAUGCAAGUCGAACGGUAACAGGCCUUCGGGUGCUGACGAGUGGCGAACGGGUGAGUAAUGCAUCGGAACGUGCCCAGAGGUGGGGGAUAACGCAGCGAAAGCUGUGCUAAUACCGCAUGUGAUCUGAGGAUGAAAGCGGGGGACCAGGCAGCAAUGUUUGGCCUCGCGCCUUUGGAGCGGCCGAUGUCAGAUUAGGUAGUUGGUGGGGUAAAGGCCUACCAAGCCGACGAUCUGUAGCUGGUCUGAGAGGACGACCAGCCACACUGGGACUGAGACACGGCCCAGACUCCUACGGGAGGCAGCAGUGGGGAAUUUUGGACAAUGGGCGCAAGCCUGAUCCAGCAAUGCCGCGUGCGGGAAGAAGGCCUUCGGGUUGUAAACCGCUUUUGUACGGAACGAAAAGGCUUUGGCUAAUACCUGGGGCUGAUGACGGUACCGUAAGAAUAAGCACCGGCUAACUACGUG
rnacentral:rRNA from 1 species